CCGGAGUGGGUCGGGAACGGAGUUCGCGGUUCCGUCCCAUCCGAACCCUGCUGACAAGAAAUCUGUGCAGUAUCUGUAGGAUCAAAGUGACAGAGAGGGACUGACAAGGCAUCCACUGUCCAGCUAUCUCCAAAGGCAGCAGCAGCAAAAAGGAGAACACUUCUGUGGUUGCGCCAG
rnacentral:lncRNA from 12 species